UGGGGUUGGAGUAUUAAAACGCAUACAUGUCUAAGUAUAAGCAUUAUACACUGAGACUGUGAAUGGGUCAUUAUAUCACUCAUCUUUUAUUUGAUAUUACAUUACUACUUGUAUAACCGCGGUGAUUCUAGAGCUAAUACAUGCUGAAACGGCCGGGUUCCCGGGUGGUGUAUAUUAUAUAAAAAACCAAUGUCCUCGGGCUCUAUGGUGAAUCAUAAUAACUUGACAAAUCUCAUGGUCUUGUGCCCGCGAUGGUUCAUUCGAAUUUCUGCCCUAUCGACUUUCCAUGGUAGGAUAGAGGGCUACCGUGGUUUUAAGGGGUAACGGGGAAUCAGGGAUCGAUUCCGGAAAGGGAGCCUGAGAAACGGAUACCACAUCCCACGAAGGCAGGAAGGGCGCAAAUUACCCAAUCCUGACACACGGAGGCAGUGACGAUAAAUAACUAUACAGGGACUAUUAGGCCUCGCAAUUGGAGUGAGAACAAUUUAAAUACCUUAACGACGAACAAUAGGAGGGCAAGUCUGGUGCCAGUGGCCGCGGCAAUUCCAGCUCUGAUAGCAUAUAUUAACGUUGUUGCCGUUGAAAAGCUCAAAAAGCUCAA
rnacentral:rRNA from 1 species